AACGAACGCUGGCGGCAGGCUUAACACAUGCAAGUCGAGCGCCCCGCAAGGGGAGCGGCAGACGGGUGAGUAACGCGUGGGAAUCUACCGAGCCCUAAGGAAUAGCUCCGGGAAACUGGAAUUAAUACCUUAUACGCCCUUUUGGGGAAAGAUUUAUCGGGGUUUGAUGAGCCCGCGUUGGAUUAGCUAGUUGGUGGGGUAAAGGCCUACCAAGGCGACGAUCCGUAGCUGGUCUGAGAGGAUGAUCAGCCACACUGGGACUGAGACACGGCCCAGACUCCUACGGGAGGCAGCAGUGGGGAAUAUUGGACAAUGGGCGCAAGCCUGAUCCAGCCAUGCCGCGUGAGUGAUGAAGGCCUUAGGGUUGUAAAGCUCUUUCGCCAGGGGCGAUAAUGACGGUACCUGGAUAAGAAGCCCCGGCUAACUUCGUGCCAGCCGCCGCCGUAAUAC
rnacentral:rRNA from 1 species